rnacentral:rRNA from 1 species
AAUCAACGCUGGCGGCAUGCCUUACACAUGCAAGUCGAACGGUAACGCGGGGCAACCUGGCGACGAGUGGCGAACGGGUGAGUAAUAUAUCGGAACGUGCCCAAUAGUGGGGGAUAGCCCGGCGAAAGCCGGAUUAAUACCGCAUACGACCUGAGGGUGAAAGCGGGGGAUCGCAAGACCUCGCGCUAUUGGAGCGGCCGAUAUCAGAUUAGGUAGUUGGUGGGGUAAAGGCCUACCAAGCCUACGAUCUGUAGCUGGUCUGAGAGGACGACCAGCCACACUGGGACUGAGACACGGCCCAGACUCCUACGGGAGGCAGCAGUGGGGAAUUUUGGACAAUGGGCGCAAGCCUGAUCCAGCCACGCCGCGUGCGGGAAGAAGGCCUUCGGUUGUAACCGCUUUGUCAGGAAGAAAUACUUCUGGGUUAAUACCUCGGAGGAUGACGGUACCUGAAGAAUAAGCACCGGC